AUGAAGAACACAGUGAAAUGUGAUAAGUAAUGUGAAUUGCAGAAUUCAGUGAAUCAUCUGAAUCUUUGAACGCAUCUUUGCACCUUUUGGUAUUCCAAAAGGUACACCUGUUUGAGUGUCAUGA
rnacentral:rRNA from 1 species